rnacentral:misc_RNA from 1 species
UUGAAUAUACAUUGGGGAUGUUGCUGCUACUCUACCCAGGGUAAUGUGCACUCCCUUGAUAUUCAAAUCCACCUGUGCACAAUCGAGUAGGCAUAGAUUGGGUUCUGUGCCUAUGUUUUUACACACUCUCUAUGUUUGUAACAGAUGGCUUUUUAUAUAAUAUAUAUAUAA